rnacentral:sRNA from 1 species
CCCAGAGGUAUUGAUUGGUGAUUGUUCGGUAGGUAUGCCGGAAACUGAUUCUGAUAUGCCUGUCGCAACCAACACAUUACACCAACCUACGCGGAUGCGUAGGUUUUUUUU